GUGAGACUCUGGGGAAAGCUGUCAUAGAAUGGAAAACGCAAUCACCGAUGGUGUGAAAAAUGCUUCUAGAUAUGACCGUCCUGGACAUAGUGAAGCUCCACAGAUAUCCAAGACAAUAUAAAAAAAAAGCUGGAAGCUUCAGAGACAUGGGAUUCUAUAACAGAAAGAUCAAUAUUUGGCCAUAGAUUAAUGAAAAUAAAUCAGCCAUAGAUUGAUCUUUAAAAGAAUGAAGUGAACAUCAAAGACUGUUGAGAAAAAGAUACAGUCAACUUAAAUCACCCACCUUCCACUACAUCAAUCACACAAAGGCCCACAAGAGAUGGCACCAGAUUCUUUGCUGCAACAUGAACGGCUAUCGCUCCACCCAUACUAUGGCCAAUCAAAACAACAGGGGGAGAAUUUUCACCAUACAGCGUUUCCACUAUAAUACCAAUGUCUCUGUAAAAGAAAAAAUAUAUUUUGGAAACAAAAACAGCAUUCUCAAAGUUGCCUCACAGAUGGUUUUAAAGGUUACCAGGUUAUGUAUUUGAGGUGGAAAAGAAUUCGACAAUCCAAUGUCAAGAUAAUUUAACACAUUGUAUUCUGGACUGGCUUAAUACAUAAUUUGUUAUUUCCUUUUAUUUGUUCAUGGGUGUGAACAAGGUUAGUACUUAUUGCACAAAACUCUUCAAAUAGUAAAUGAUGUCCCUUGAACUGCUGCAGUCAUAUGUUGUUCUGUUAGGGGUGGCGCUUUAG